rnacentral:rRNA from 1 species
GACGAACGCUGGCGGCGUGCUUAACACAUGCAAGUCGAACGGAAAGGCCCUGCUUUUGUGGGGUGCUCGAGUGGCGAACGGGUGAGUAACACGUGAGUAACCUGCCCUUGACUUUGGGAUAACUUCAGGAAACUGGGGCUAAUACCGGAUAGGAGCUCCUGCUGCAUGGUGGGGGUUGGAAAGUUUCGGCGGUUGGGGAUGGACUCGCGGCUUAUCAGCUUGUUGGUGGGGUAGUGGCUUACCAAGGCUUUGACGGGUAGCCGGCCUGAGAGGGUGACCGGCCACAUUGGGACUGAGAUACGGCCCAGACUCCUACGGGAGGCAGCAGUGGGGAAUAUUGCACAAUGGGCGGAAGCCUGAUGCAGCAACGCCGCGUGCGGGAUGACGGCCUUCAGGUUGUAAACCGCUUUCGCCUGUGACGAAGCGUGAGUGACAGUAAUAGGUAAAGAAGCACCGGCUAACUACGUG